CUACGGGAUGCAGCAGUGGGGAAUAUUGCACAAUGGGCGCAAGCCUGAUGCAGCCAUGCCGCGUGUAUGAAGAAGGCCUUCGGGUUGUAAAGUACUUUCAGCGGGGAGGAAGGGAGUAAAGUUAAUACCUUUGCCCAUUGACGUUACCCGCAGAAGAAGCACCGGCUAACUCCGUGCCAGCAGCCGCGGUAAUACGGAGGGUGCAAGUGUUAAUCGGAAUUACUGGGCGUAAAGCGCACGCAGGCGGUUUGUUAAGUCAGAUGUGAAAUCCCCGGGCUCAACCUGGGAACUGCAUCUGAUACUGGCAAGCUUGAGUCUCGUAGAGGGGGGUAGAAUUCCAGGUGUAGCGGUGAAAUGCGUAGAGAUCUGGAGGAAUACCGGUGGCGAAGGCGGCCCCCUGGACGAAGACUGACGCUCAGGUGCGAAAGCGUGGGGAGCAAACAGGAUUAGAUACCCCUGUAGUC
rnacentral:rRNA from 1 species